UGUUUGCACUUAGCGGGAAGGGUAAGAACCUUCGACUAAGGUUCGACUCGAGCGCCAGCGAGAGAACGUUGCCA
rnacentral:sRNA from 1 species